GUCUACAGCCAUGCCACCCUGAAUGUGCCUGAUCUCGUCUGAUCUCGGAAGCUAAGCAGGGUUAGGCCUGGUUAGUACUUGGAUGGGAGACCACUUUGGAAUACCAGGAGCUGUAGGCG
rnacentral:rRNA from 1 species